GAAAUGCGAUAAGUAAUGUGAAUUGCAGAAUUCAGUGAAUCAUCGAAUCUUUGAACGCACCUUGCGCUCCUUGCUAUUCCUUGGAGCAUGCCUGUUUGAGUAUCAUGAAAUCUUCAAAGUAAAUCUUUUGUUAACUCAAUUGGUUUCUACUUUGGUAUUGGAGGUCUUUGCAGCUUCACACCUGCUCCUCUUUGUUCAUUAGCUGGAUCUCAGUGUUAUGCUUGGUUCCACUCGGCGUGAUAAGUUAUCUAUCGCUGAGGACACUGUAAAAGGUGGCCAAGGUAAAUGCAGAUGAACCGCUUCUAAUAGUCCAUUGACUUGGACAAUACUUUUAUGAUCUGAUCUCAAAUCAGGUAGGACUACCCGCUGAACUUAAGC
rnacentral:misc_RNA from 1 species